CCUACGGGAGGCAGCAGUGGGGAAUAUUGGACAAUGGGGGGAACCCUGAUCCAGCCAUGCCGCGUGUGUGAAGAAGGCCCUCGGGUUGUAAAGCACUUUCAGUGAGGAAGAACGCCUGGUGGUUAAUACCCAUCAGGAAAGACAUCACUCACAGAAGAAGCACCGGCUAACUCCGUGCCAGCAGCCGCGGUAAUACGGAGGGUGCGAGCGUUAAUCGGAAUUACUGGGCGUAAAGCGCGCGUAGGUGGCUUGAUAAGCCGGUUGUGAAAGCCCCGGGCUCAACCUGGGAACGGCAUCCGGAACUGUCAAGCUAGAGUGCAGGAGAGGAAGGUAGAAUUCCCGGUGUAGCGGUGAAAUGCGUAGAGAUCGGGAGGAAUACCAGUGGCGAAGGCGGCCUUCUGGACUGACACUGACACUGGGGUGCGAAAGCGUGGGUAGCAAACAGGAUUAGAUACCCUAGUAGUC
rnacentral:rRNA from 1 species